AUACGGAGGGUGCAAGCGUUGUUCGGAAUUACUGGGCGUAAAGCGCGUGCAGGCGGUAAGGUAAGUCAGAUGUGAAAGCCCCGGGCUCAACCCGGGAAGUGCAUUUGAUACUGCCUUUCUUGAGUAUGGGAGAGGAGAGUGGUAUUCCCAGUGUAGAGGUGAAAUUCGUAGAUAUUGGGAGGAACACCCGUGGCGAAGGCGACUCUCUGGACCAAUACUGACGCUGAGACGCGAAAGCGUGGGGAGCGAACAGGAUUAGAAACCCCAGUAGUCC
rnacentral:rRNA from 1 species